UCCUAUAAAUGUUGCAAGACUACUCAGCCAUCCAGGGGGUCUGAGAGGGGCAAAACAAUCCUGGUCGCUCGUUUCUACUGCUACAGUGAAUUUUACAUCCCACUUUCUACCUCAGCCGUUAGAUUCAGUAAUUUCUUUCUCACCCUUCCCUGCUCAUUCUGAGUUCGUGACGCCUGGGCCCGUGCGUGCUUGGGGCCACUCGUCUGGGACUGCGAGCGUUCCUGCUCGCGUCCGCGAGAAACCCAAAAACGGUGAAACCCUAGCCAUCUGAGAGCCUCUCUCUCCUCUCCAAUCCCGUGCCCACUCUUCUCCCCGAAUCCCCGCUCCUCUCCUCCUCCCGAAUCCGCCGCCUUCUCUCGCUUUCUCUCCCGCUGUGCUGGUCGUGGACGGUGAGCGGCGGGCGCGGGCGGCUUCCCGGAGGAGUCUAGCGGCGCGGGCGGCGAGGCGAGGAGACUGGCUCAGAGGUCGAGCUCGCGCCGUCUCACCCUCCCGGCCGCAUAUGCGGGCACAACGGCAGCGGCUGCCUCAGGAGAGGAGGAUGCGGCGGCGGUCCUUGGUGCGGGACAUCCGCUCGAACUGGCGCGGGGAGACUGGAUGAACCGACGGCGGCGAGGCUCGAGAUCCCCCGCCUCAUCCUUCCCUGCCUCUGCACCCGACGAUGACGGCCCAGCCAUGUUAUUUGGGCGAGGAGGCAACAGAUCGGGAGAUCUAUCCUUCCCUGGUGCUUGCGACGGCGGCGGCAACCGGCGGUAACAGCCAGCAGGGCCCUGACAACCAGGUACAGCGCUCCUUUCUUUUACGAGCACAAACUGCGCCGCGUGACACACCCAGGUACUGAUCUUCAACCAAAGGGCAGCGGUAACCGGCGACCGGCGGCCAGCGGCGACCGGCGACCACAACCAGACUACAAAAAUUCAGCAUCUUGCUUCCUUGCCGUCCACACUUCCAUGGUGCCACCUCGACCUCACGGAUCUUGCCAAUGGCUAUGACGCCAAGGUCCUGCAUGUGAACUGUUUGAUGAAAUUCGUCUGUGCCAAUUCUUUAUUGCUGCUCAUGAAGCAGCUGCCGGCCAAGCAGAGAUAUUUAUAAUGUGACGGACUGCUGCCGGAAGAAAAAGAAGACAACGGCAUCGCUGCCACAUGGGAUCUCCUUCUAUGACGCUGUCGUGCUGGGUUUUGUUAGGUCUGUGCUCAGCGCUGUUCAUUUUCUCUAAAAAGACUUUGAGACACAUCUUGUUGAAUUUGUAUAGCUUUCAGCUGGGAAGGACACCAACAUGGUUAUAGACUUAUAGCUGUUGCUCUUGGACUUGGGAUAUGAAUCGUUGGGUGUUAAAAGCACUUCAUAGCAGCUUGGUCAUACCAUGGAUUCUUUGGAAGCUCUUUUCAGAAGCAGAGAGAGUGUACUACACUGGAGGAUUAAAAGAUCUUCGCAAUAUUUGCUUUCUCAAUGUUAACCUCGCCAGUUGGCCGCGCUGCAAGGUACGCUAAAGAUAUCUGAAGGAUUGAUUGGCACUGUCAGUGUCUAGGUCCCAUUUAUUUGAACACGUGUCUGGUAUUAUGGGUUUCAGGGAACGACCUAUGAUCUUGGAAUUGUCCAUUCGAUGCUAUGAAGGUAACAGGUGCUCAAUUGGAGGAGCCCCCCCCAAGUGUAUGAAGCAUGCAAAGAGGACAGUUCUGAGCGCAGACGAUGUUGAUAGUGCUCAGGAAUGUUAAGCCUGUAUACGGAUUUGCUUCUGGUGACCCCUUGCGGUUUAAAAGAGCUGUGUGCCAUAAUGAUCUCUUCUAUAUCGAUGACAGGGAGGUCGAUUUCAAAGAGGCAAGGAUAUUAUUGAUAAAUGAAUCAGAUAAAUUUACACUUUCUUUAUUUUGAUAAUGAAUUGGACAUAUGUCUGCCGCAUACAUAUUACUGAAGCUCCUCUACCCAAACUCUCGACACAGCAUUUGUAUCUCACUGGCUAACUAUUGAGGGCGUCCUCCAGCCUGCAAUUCUAGAUAAUCCUCCUAUCGAUGGUGUACAAAAGGGUGGUAUAGUGAUCUUGGAAGCAAAUGGGAUCCAUGGGCUUCGGAUCAUUUAGCUUCCCCUGGUUCCCAUGUUCAUUGGAAAUUCCCUCUCUUGCUGGUAUUAAUUUUCUGUCAGCUUGCUCAGGUAUCUGUACUCGGUGGAAUUUACUAUAUUAUAUGAACUAUCUUUUUUGUUCAAUUUUUAAAUUUGUUACCGCUCCUAUGAUCUUUCUGCAAGCAGCUAUUUAAUGGUGAAAUACCACAUAGUUUGGUAAAGUAGUGGGAUGAUUGGUUUCUGUAUGACCUUUUAUUGAAUAUUAUCUUGUCCCACUUAAAGGUUUCUUAGCUACUGGGGUGGUCCUUUGUUGGUUCACUGUGAAAAGAAACAAUGUAUGAUUUAUGACAUAUCCAAAAUAAUGAGCUUAGUGAAGCAUAAUGAAGAUCCUAACGGAAGGAAGGAAACUAUGCACAAAGAAAUUUUACCAAAAUAAGUGUGUGAAUUAAAAUUUACUGAUAGAGUGUGUUUUUUGGAACAUAUCAACUUUAGAAAUUAACCCAAGUGCUAUAGGUUUGUGAAUUAGUAGUAGCUUAUGCGGGUGGCUGCAGUUUGUUGAUUGGGAACCAGAGCCUCAGUGUUAGUAAUGUUGUUACUUAAGAUAGGACAUAAUAGCUUUGAAAUUAUCCCAAUCAAUAUAUGUUUGUAAAGUAACAUCAGCUUACACAGAUAGCUGCAAUGUGACAAGCUUGCAGAUUAUUGGUGUAUUUUCGAAUCUUCAGCCAACAAUUACAAGCUAAAUUUAUAACAGAAUGCAUACAUGGCUAAGAGGCCUACCAAAAGCACUUUUGGCUGCAUAUAGAUUGAAGCAUGGUUUUAAAGGCGUCGCCUAGGCGGUCAAGGUGUCAUGCUCGCCUUGGACUGCUGUCGAAGGCGUCCCAAUUGAACCGCCUAGGCGUCCAGGUCGUCGCUUAGGCAAGGAAGGCCUCGCUCUGGGCGAUUUUGGACGCCAUGGCCUGGUCGAGCGGGAAACGGAGCAGCCCGAGUGGGAAUCCAAAAUUGGAGCAGGAAUUGGAGAAAUUGGCCGCGGUAAUUGAGGGAAAUAGAGAGAGAAGACAGGGAGGAACCAAUUACUCACAAUAAUCGACUGAUUGAGAGAGAAAUUGGCGGGCUGGGAGGGAAAUUGGGGGCGGGAGAGAAGAGAGAGGAGGGAGCAGGGAGGGAAAUUGGUGCCAGGGACAAGGGAAAGAGAGGGAAGAGAGAGGGGAACAGACCAGGGGAAUCAGGUUGGGAGAGAAGAGAGAGGAGGGAGCUCCUCUCAAGCUUCUGGCGACUCCUACCCCUGGCGCAGCCCUCUCAGAGGUGUCGCCUUGCAACCCGCCUUGAGCGCCUAGGCGUUGAGGCGCCUCCCAGCCUUGGGACACCUGGCCGCCUUUAAAACCAUGGAUUGAAGAUUGUGAAUCCAAUCAUUUGGAAAAAGCAGCUGGUCUUCUUAGCCCUGUUGGCUCUGAUUUUAAGCUCUCCAAAGGUGGCUUUGAGAGUGUAUAGAAUCUAUGUUGAUGUAUUAAGCCUUCCAUCUUCACCGAGGGAAGCAAUGGCUCUACGGGACAAAACGAAGGAGUUAUUGAGGACAUGGAUCCUCUCCAUUCUUAUCUUAACCCUCUUUGUAACUUUAACAAUUUUCUUAUUUUAUUUGAUCUAUAUGUAUGUACAGAAUUUUGAUUAAGAUCCCUGUAUUUGAUCAAUUUAUGGAGUUAUUGAGCUAUAUAUUUAUCUAUGUUUUUUCCUCAUGAAGUUCUUGAUGAAUUUCUUACAGGAGGUGUAUUGGAUUUAUAGAUAGAAACACAAUCUGAAGCAGGAGGCUGCAAUGGAACUUUUUACCAUGUUUGUUAGGUAAAUCUUGGGGCGAGCAGUGGAUGGCUGAUGGCGUGGAUGGCCACGACGGAGUACUUGGUCAGCGGAUUACAUGGAGUGGAGUCGAUGAAGGGAGCUGUAGCAGAUCAAGGCGAAGAGUUAGAGAGAUAGGUUAAGAGAUAGGUUAAGAGGAAGAAAUUGUACCGUUAACGCAAAUUGUGAUGGGAUAGACGGUAUCAGCCAAUAAAUUGUUUACGCGGGGCAAACAUUUGCAAUAGUUUCUCGUUCCGUGGUACCAGUGGUAUCAGUUAAGAGGCUCAAAAUCUCGAACCAAACUUUUUCUAUUUUGCCACUCACAAUAAGCAUAAACAUUCUUCUUGGAAUUAGUAAUUAUCCUUUUAUGUUUCUUUAA